rnacentral:rRNA from 1 species
GGGGAAUUUUCCGCAAUGGGCGAAAGCCUGACGGAGCAACGCCGCGUGAGGGAUGAAGGCCUCUGGGCUGUAAACCUCUUUUAUCAAGGAAGAAGAUCUGACGGUACUUGAUGAAUAAGCCACGGCUAAUUCCGUGCCAGCAGCCGCGGUAAUACGGGAGUGGCAAGCGUUAUCCGGAAUUAUUGGGCGUAAAGCGUCCGCAGGCGGCCCUUCAAGUCUGCUGUUAAAAAGUGGAGCUUAACUCCAUCAUGGCAGUGGAAACUGUUGGGCUUGAGUGUGGUAGGGGCAGAGGGAAUUCCCGGUGUAGCGGUGAAAUGCGUAGAUAUCGGGAAGAACACCAGUGGCGAAGGCGCUCUGCUGGGCCAUCACUGACGCUCAUGGACGAAAGCCAGGGGAGCGAAAGGGAUUAGAUACCCCUGUAGUC